UACCNUGCAGUCGAGCGGACCAAUGCCCAUUUCAGCUUUGCUGAUUUGAGCAACGGUUAGCGGCGGACGGGUGAGUAACGCGUGGGCAACCUGCCCUGCGCAGGGGGAUAACACAGCGAAAGCUGUGCUAAUACCCCAUAAGACUACGUUAUCGCAUGAUAGAGUAGUCAAAGCUUUAGCGGCACAGGAUGGGCCCGCGUCUGAUUAGCUAGUUGGUGGGGUAACGGCCUACCAAGGCGACGAUCAGUAGCCGACUUGAGAGGGUGAUCGGCCACACUGGAACUGAGACACGGUCCAGACUCCUACGGGAGGCAGCAGUGGGGAAUAUUGCACAAUGGGGGAAACCCUGAUGCAGCAACGCCGCGUGAGCGAAGAAGGCCUUCGGGUCGUAAAGCUCUGUCCUAAGGGAAGAAGCAUGACGGUACCUUAGGAGGAAGCCCCGGCUAACUACGUGCCAGCAGCCGCGGUAAUACGUAGGGGGCGAGCGUUAUCCGGAAUCACUGGGCGUAAAGGGUGCGUAGGCGGCCGAGUAAGCCAGAGGUGAAAGGCUGCGGCUUAACCGUAGUAAGCCUUUGGAACUACUUGGCUUGAGUGCAGGGAGAGGAGAGUGGAAUUCCUAGUGUAGCGGUGAAAUGCGUANAUAUUAGGGAGGAACACCAGUGGCGAAGGCGACUCUCUGGACUGUAACUGACGCUGAGGCACGAAAGCGUGGGGAGCAAACAGGGAUUAAAUACCCUGGUAGUCCACGCCGUAAACGAUGAGUGCUAGGUGUCNGGGGUUCACACCCUCGGUGCCGGGANUAACGCAUAAGCACUCCGCCUGGGGAGUACGGUCGCAAGACUGAAACUCAAAGGAAUUGGANGGGGACCGCACAGCAGC
rnacentral:rRNA from 1 species